rnacentral:rRNA from 1 species
UACAGAGGUCUCAAGCGUUGUUCGGAUUCAUUGGGCGUAAAGGGCGCGUAGGCGGCCAGCACAAGUCAGUUGUGAAAUCUCCGGGCCUAACUCGGAAAGGUCAACUGAUACUGUGCGGCUAGAGUGCAGAAGGGGCAACUGGAAUUCUCGGUGUAGCAGUGAAAUGCGUAGAUAUCGAGAGGAACACCUGCGGCGAAGGCGGGUUGCUGGGCUGACACUGACGCUGAUGCGCGAAAGCCAGGGGAGCGAACGGG